rnacentral:rRNA from 1 species
UGCGGAGGGAUCAUUACAAGAACGCCCGGGCUUCGGCCUGGUUAUUCAUAACCCUUUGUUGUCCGACUCUGUUGCCUCCGGGGCGACCCUGCCUUCGGGCGGGGGCUCCGGGUGGACACUUCAAACUCUUGCGUAACUUUGCAGUCUGAGUAAACUUAAUUAAUAAAUUAAAACUUUUAACAACGGAUCUCUUGGUUCAGGCAUCGAUGAAGAACGCAGCGAAAUGCGAUAAGUAAUGUGAAUUGCAGAAUUCAGUGAAUCAUCGAAUCUUUGAACGCACAUUGCGCCCCCUGGUAUUCCGGGGGGCAUGCCUGUUCGAGCGUCAUUUCACCACUCAAGCCUCGCUUGGUAUUGGGCAACGCGGUCCGCCGCGUGCCUCAAAUCGUCCGGCUGGGUCUUCUGUCCCCUAAGCGUUGUGGAAACUAUUCGCUAAAGGGUGUUCGGGAGGCUACGCCGUAAAACAACCCCAUUUCUAAGGUUGACCUCGGAUCAGGUAGGGAUACCCGCUGAACUUAA